rnacentral:rRNA from 1 species
GACGAACGCUGGCGGCGUGCUUAACACAUGCAAGUCGAACGGUAAGGCCCUUCGGGGUACACGAGUGGCGAACGGGUGAGUAACACGUGGGUGAUCUGCCCUGCACCUCGGGAUAAGCCUGGGAAACUGGGUCUAAUACCGGAUAGGACCCUGGGAUGCAUGUCCUGGGGUGGAAAGCUUUUGCGGUGUGGGAUGGGCCCGCGGCCUAUCAGCUUGUGGGUGGGGUGAUGGCCUACCAAGGCGACGACGGGUAGCCGGCCUGAGAGGGUGACCGGCCACACUGGGACUGAGAUACGGCCCAGACUCCUACGGGAGGCAGCAGUGGGGAAUAUUGCACAAUGGGCGCAAGCCUGAUGCAGCGACGCCGCGUGAGGGAUGACGGCCUUCGGGUUGUAAACCUCUUUCAGCACCGACGAAGCGCAAGUGACGGUAGGUGCAGAAGAAGGACCGGCCAACUACGUGCCAGCCGCCGCGGUAA